UGUGGGAAGGUGGAGGCCUUU
rnacentral:miRNA from 1 species